ACUUUUGACGGAUCGCAUCUCUGCAUAAUCAGAGGUUCUAUCGGCGCGAGAUUGCGAGCCCAAACUGUUUUCUUCUGAUACAUCCGUUCCAACAGAGAGUUGCAUCGACAGGUCUCUACGGCGCUUCACGGCUUCCGUGGUCUCGGAGUGUUCCAUCGGUAAAUUGAAUGGACAUUUAUUGUGUGUGUCGCUAUCAAUCGUGUGACAGACUUUUAUGUUUCGCAUAUAAAUCGACCCUUUUUCAUUACACAGUUCUAAAGCUUGGUGAUAUGACGGCAUAUGGAAAAGAUCGUCAUUAGACACUGCCACAUUAAAACGCAAGUCGCAGGAAGUGGGAAUUUCGAGAAGAAUAUUUCUUGUGUUAACCAAAGUUGCUGCGAUGACUGAUUGUUCCAAAUCUGCUCGCUCCAAGCGCAGAGUUCCGGUGAAGGAACACGGCGUGUUUGGGAUCCGACCAUAAACAAGCCGAACAAUGCAAGGGAAGCACUUCUUGUUCACCACGUCACUCAUCUGCAUCACCGGCCGAUUAGCGUCCCCGGAAUUUGUAGAUAAUGUGUAGAAAAGCCCCUUCUGAUCGAACGGUAGUAAUAUUUCUCGAUCCGCAUCAUCUGUACACAAUAGGUACUUUUCUGUCACGACCUUGGUUUUCCUGAAUAACUUGCUUUUCCUCCUCUUUUCACCGAUAUAUAUUUUUCCCUUUCGCAGAACAUCGCCUGGAAAUAGAGUUCGUUGUUGGUGAAUAAUGCUUCCAUUUUCGCGGCGCACGAUCUGUAAGGCCUGUACGCGUCGUUCCCCGCCGAUCAGAAAGGUUUCUGUGUUUGUGUCUGCGACUUCCAAGAUCUCCUGAUAGUGGGGCACAAAGUCAUCGACAGGGCCGUUAUUGUAGUUCUUUUUCAACAAAGAAAAGUACCCUGAAAACAAAACAUUGACAUUUUCAUUCAUUCUGACGUGAUAACAUUUGGAUUUGUGUGUGGUCUUGGUUUAAAAAUAGAGAAUAUGAAAUCUUAUGACCAAUUUUUGAGUUGAGAGAAAAAUGUUCUUACUUUAACAUUGGCAUGCAGUGUUUUUACUUUUACAUGCCUUGGUUUUGUUUUAAAUUACAUAGUUUAUCCUAGCAUAGUUCUUUCCUAAAAUGUUGUUUGGAAGAUAAAUCCAUUUUGUAGGCCAUGUCGAGACCUUUACGAGUGAUUAAUUCCUGAAAGGAAAUUAUAUUGCAUGCAAUUGGCUUAUUGGAUAACGUUAUCUUCUGUGAUGUAGAUCGAGGAAGUUUGUUAAAUUCGCUCUGUGCAAACAAACCGCGAAAGAGCAAGUUUUUUUUCAAAAUAAAAUGAUAGUCAACAUAACUAU
rnacentral:sRNA from 1 species